UCUCAUUAAGUUGCUUAGGGCCUCACUAAGUUGCCAAGCUGGUCUCAAACUUGUGAUCCUCCUGCGUCAGCCCUUGAGUCGUUGGGAUUGCAGGCGUGCACCACCAUGCCCAGUGAAGAGAGGGUCAUUCAUGAUGAUGAACUGGAAUGGUGUAGUGGAUAAUUUAUAUGUAAGUGGUCAGUUCAUCUUAAAAUUUUUAUUUUCUUAUAUAGCCUUGUAAUAAGUACUCAGAUGAAGAGGACUCCCUUUCGUCUAUCUCAAAGUGUUUAAUAUUGCUGAUUCCCUCGGGAAUAAUAAUUCUUGCUUCAUAAAUUAUUGUAUGUUGAACAGAUUGAGGUAAAAAAAUAACUAACACUGAACCCUAACCCUGUGAUGGUUUCCUUCUUCCUUAAGAAGUUGUAGGUGGCUUUGCAGAGGCAAAGGGAGAUAGAUCUGGUGAAGAGGAUGGUAGGUUGGACAGAGCUUAGGUGAUCAGGGGCUGAUCUGUGAACAAGGUUUGGGACAUGGCCAUCCUGUCCCUGGGGUCAAGUGUGUUAGGAGAGGAGGAGACACUGAAUGUUGUCUUCAAGGGAGAACCAGCUUUCUGGUAAGGCAGGAUGGUAGAAAGAGGGAGAAAGGGUUGAAUGAAAGGAACUCUAUCCCCAUGAACUCACUUCUCUGUCCUUAGUAGAAGCUGUGGAGGAAGAAGACAAGAGGAGCUGAGUCAAGAUCCCUGAUGGGUGCUUCAAGAUGAAUGAACACAGGGUGAAAGACAGAUACCUGCUGUGGUCAAUUUAGGAAAAAUGCCAGAAAAAUAUAUUUGGCUUAUAGAAGCAGAGAUGGGUUGACGUGAUCACCAGGGAGAGAAGAGCAGGUGCUGGGCUGUGUGCUUAGGCUGACAAUAUUGGGCCCACAGAGAUGUGUUUCCACCAUGCGACCAGCGCACUGGUUUCAUUAAAGAGGUUCUUGGCAUAAAAGUUAACUAGUGAGAUCGAAAUAAAACACACAGACUCAGUUACAUUUUUCUAUGACCAGGUCCGAGACGGCUCCCCCUCUGGCUCCCACCUCGAACCACCCGGUAGGGCAGCAGGGAUUACUCAGGGCUAGCAGGAGAGAGGGAGAGAGCACGCCAGGGAGUAGCCUUUUAUUGGGGAACAAGAAAUUCAGGGGAGAAUUCCAUCCAGUGAAGGUUGAGGGGGGCAGCACUCCAAGGUCAGGGUCAGUGAUUGGCCCCCGGGGUCAGUGGUCAGUCACACCCCAACACGGACAGGCUCUCGCACCAGGAGAGGGUCGGGAAAGCUCUGACACAGUUUAGCCAGAGCGCCUCAGACCCAAACCGGGAGUUGCCCAGUCACGUGUGAAAAUGGCUCCCCACAUGUGUAUAUGAAAAGUGGGAAUUCUGCCUGAGGGCUGCCCCUGCUUAGAGUGCUGUGUGUUUCUCAUCAUUGUAAACCUUUCACGGGGCUCAGAACUGUGGGUUGCAGUAGAUUCACCCCUUCCCUGCCUCCUUCUGCGCUUAUACAGGACUUGAGCAGGAACCUGUUGUUUUAGGAGGCAGUGACCUUUGAGGAUGUGGCUGUGUACUUCACCCAGAAUCAGUGGGCCAGUCUGGAGCCUGCACAGAAGGCUCUGUACCAGGAGGUGAUGUUGGAAAAUUAUGCGAACAUAACUUCUUUGGGUAAGUCCUCUUCCUCUGAAACUUAGCUUCUGCCUUUGGGGCUCCUAGAUUCUCCCUUAGCAGAUCUGGGAUCUUUAAUAUCCCCAGGAUUAAUGACCCAUGAGCUGAGCUCCCUAAUUCCCAGUUUCAGGAGUAGCUGAAUGGAGAAAGAUCUGGAUUCACUUUGGUUUUUAACAGGACUUCCCUGUUGGCUGGUUCCUGGUGGGGACUGUACUGUGAGGGGUUUGCUCUGGGAGCAGAGAGAACUGAGAAGGUUCCUGGUGCCCCACCUUCAUUCCUCCAGUCUUCCCGUUCCCUGGAGGAGACCCGGGCCCAUCUACUGUGUGUGUGAGUCUCCUAGGACCCCAGGUAUACACUUCCAGUGACUGUGGGUACUUCCUGUUCUCUCAGAGGCUAGAAUAAGCUAUGAGCCCUUCCUUAGAUCCCCAGAUUCUCUCCUCAUGAACCUCACUUGGUCUCCUGGGCAUCUGCCUCUUUGUUCACCUGGCAAAGCAGAGGGUAGACUGAGGGAGGUUGGUGGUGACUCUCUCAGCUUCCUGUUCCUUUUCUUUCUCCUUUAGCAGCAUUACCAUUCCCUAAACCAGAUCUGAUAUUCCAGCUGGAGCGAGGGGAAGCCCCAUGGGUCCCAGAUUCAUGGAGACCUGUUGGGGAAGAGGCCCUUGGAGGCAGGUGCACAGGUGAGCAGGAGAACAGACCAUCUUCUUUUCCAGCUUUGACUCUUGUGUGUCUGUCUGUUUCUCUUUCUCUUUUUGUUUUUGUAGUAGCUGGGAUUGAACCCGGUGAAUUGUAUCCCUAACCCUUUUUAUUUUUUGACUUUGAGACAGGGUCUCCCUAAGUUGCCCAGGCUGGCCUCAAACUUGGGAUUUCCCCACCCCAUCCUACUGAGUAUCUGGGAAUAUAGAUAUGUGCCACUGCACCCAGCUACUUCUCUUUUGAUAUUUUAACAUGAGAUGAAAGAGGUAUUUCUUCGGAACCAUGGCUGUUGUGGGAUGAAAAUAGUCAUGCUUCAGCUCUAAACUAGAAGACAGCAGUCCAGAUGUUCCAUUCUCUCUCAUUUUUCUUCAGAAAGUGAAAGGAUUGC
rnacentral:lncRNA from 1 species